rnacentral:rRNA from 1 species
UACGGGGGGGGCAAGCGUUGUUCGGAAUUACUGGGCGUAAAGGGCUCGUAGGCGGCCAACUAAGUCAGACGUGAAAUCCCUCGGCUUAACCGGGGAACUGCGUCUGAUACUGGAUGGCUCGAGUUUGGGAGAGGGAUGCGGAAUUCCAGGUGUAGCGGUGAAAUGCGUAGAUAUCGGGAGGAACACCAGUGGCGAAGGCGAUCAUCUGGGGUUGUUCUGACGCUGAGGAGCGAAAGCUAGGGGAGCAAACGGG